rnacentral:rRNA from 1 species
GACAGAGGAGGCGAGCGUUAUCCGGAGUAAUUGGGCGUAAAGGGUACGUAGGCGGCUAGUCAAGUCUGAGGUUAAAGACCACAGCUCAACUGUGGGAAGGCCUUGGAAACUGACUGGCUAGAGUGGGGCAGGGGUUGCGGGAAUUCCCGGUGUAGCGGUGAAAUGCGUAGAUAUCGGGAAGAACAACUGUGGCGAAAGCGCGCAACUGGGCCCUCACUGACGCUGAGGUACGAAAGCUAGGGGAGCGAAUGGG